rnacentral:rRNA from 1 species
UUGAACGCUGGCGGCAUGCUUUACACAUGCAAGUCGAACGGCAGCGCGGGGCAACCUGGCGGCGAGUGGCGAACGGGUGAGUAAUAUAUCGGAACGUACCCAGAAGUGGGGGAUAACGUAGCGAAAGUUACGCUAAUACCGCAUACGAUCUACGGAUGAAAGUGGGGGACCUUCGGGCCUCAUGCUUUUGGAGCGGCCGAUAUCUGAUUAGCUAGUUGGUAGGGUAAAGGCCUACCAAGGCAACGAUCAGUAGCUGGUCUGAGAGGACGACCAGCCACACUGGAACUGAGACACGGUCCAGACGCCUACGGGAGGCAGCAGGGGGGAAUUUUGGACAAUGGGCGCAAGCCUGAUCCAGCAAUGCCGCGUGAGUGAAGAAGGCCGUCGGGUUGUAAAGCUC